UCCAUUCUGAGUUUUCUCUCACAAGACUAAAACAACUUUUGACGAACACGUUCCACUAAAACAAGUUCCUUCCCGAGGCUAAUUUGCCACGUCACCAUGGCUCCGUCCGGUGCUUUGCGCCGCCCAAGAUGAUUGUGGUUG